AGUGAACGCUGGCGGUAGGCCUAACACAUGCAAGUCGAACGGCAGCACAGUAAGAGCUUGCUCUUACGGGUGGCGAGUGGCGGACGGGUGAGGAAUACAUCGGAAUCUACUUUUUCGUGGGGGAUAACGUAGGGAAACUUACGCUAAUACCGCAUACGACCUACGGGUGAAAGCAGGGGAUCUUCGGACCUUGCGCGAUUGAAUGAGCCGAUGUCGGAUUAGCUAGUUGGCGGGGUAAAGGCCCACCAAGGCGACGAUCCGUAGCUGGUCUGAGAGGAUGAUCAGCCACACUUGAACUGAGACACGGUCCGGACUCCUACGGGAGCCAGCAGUGGGGAAUAUUGGACAAUGGGCUCAAGCCUGAUCCAGCCAUACCGCGUGGGUGAAGAAGGCCUUCGGGUUGUAAAGCCCUUUUGUUGGGAAAGAAAAGCAGCAGGUUAAUACCCCGCUGUUCUGACGGUACCCAAAGAAUAAGCACCGGCUAACUUCGUG
rnacentral:rRNA from 1 species